UAAACCAACACAGUACAAAAGUGAGGGGAAAACAGUGUGAGACCAAUUAAAACAAAUUGGUAAUGAAAGCAACAGCUGGACGUCAACAUGUUCUGCUCUGUUAAUGGCAUGUCAACAGGGUGAAUAUUAGAGAAACCGGUGCUGUCUGAAGGAAAGGAGAAACCAGGACCCUAGUGGGAAAGAGCAGACCUGAACCUCGCCGGAGGCAUUCUUGCCCACUCACUUGGGAAGGCCACAGGCACCAACGAAAACCCAUUCAAGGAACUUUUCUCUGCUCUAAAGCCUCCCACUGAACUGCCACCUCAGGAGUAACAUCCCUUUCACCUUAAUGCAGAGCUCAUUUGACAAAUGAGGUCAUGACAGAGAGGAAUAGUCAACAGAGCCUGAAAAGCAGUGGGAAGUGAGGGACCUGGGUUUUGAGUCCAGUGCUGUCAUUAUGAUCUUGGUCCCUGCUGCAAUGCAAACACCUCGUCUGUAAAGAGAGAGGGAUAAUACCUUUGUUUUCUCCCCCUGGCUUACAGGAGUAUCUUGAAGAUGACAUGAGAAAUUACAUAUGAUGACAGUUUGGAAAUUGCAAACAUUGCUCAUCAAAUAAGGAACUCUUCUUAAAUAGCUGGUCGGCAUGUUUUUAAAAACCAAUUUCGUAACUGUUUCAGAGCAUGUGAACGACCUCUCGAUCAACGUAGAAUAAGAAGAGGAAACCAAACCCUAAGGCUGCUGAUAUGGUCUCAUGCAGACUGCCAGUCCCCUGACAUGAUCUUAGCAGGAAGCCUUUCUGCUCCUUGGUCACUUCACACCCCCUGAGCCUCAUGGAUGGGAGGACUCAGCCCAGGGAUUCACCUCCUUGAUUCCUGGGUUAAGGAGACUGACACAAUCGCACAAGACUGAUGUUUAUACUCUCCUUUUCUUAAAACCUGCCCCAACCCAGGACCAGAUUCAUGGGUCAGACUCAGUGCUUCAUUCUGAGAGCUGCUAAAGCUGUUAUGCAACUCUCUUUGAGAAAUAAAUCAGAAGAACAGAAGUUGAAAUUGAAAAACUGACCUGUCUCUUAGUUAUUCGUAAGCAUUAGAUCGCUUCUCUACCGAGUAGGUCUAAGCCAUUCUUUUUAAUCUUAUGGCAAAUAUCUUUAAAAUGUUUAUACUGCUUUGACAUUAUUUUGUAUUUUAAACUUUUGAAAACAAUUCUCAUGCUUUUUCAUGUCUCAGCUUUGUUAUAUGCCACCCAUUCUCUCUUUUGUGCAUGCCCUGUGAAUGCGUCCCACAUAAAUGUUUAUUUGUGCCAGAUCAUCAUAUGCUAGUAUUGGCAAUUCAGUAAUAAAAAGAUAUCACUAUUUCCCAACUUUCGAUAACAAAUAUAAAGUAAUGUCACCAAGGAUAUAUAACUCUGAUAUAUUUUAAGCUAAGAAAGACAUCAGAAAAUAAGACAUUUUUGAAAGAUUUUCUAAUAUCCCAAAGAGAGAGAAAAGCCAUGGGCUUUAAAAAACAAAAUAAAGAUGUCCUUUUCCAGAAAUGACCCAUGUGAGAACAUAAAUAGAAAGAGACAAAAGUAAAGGAAUUUGAACAGAAUUAAAGUAAAUCAAGAAACAAAGAAAAGGAAUUUAUAUAGAUCAGGUUACAGAAUUGAUGGGGGGAAAAAGGCCAGUAUUGGGUUCAAGAGAAAAAGAUUACAGAACAUGUUAUCCCCUAAUUAAAAAGAAGGAAUUAAAUAAUACAUGUAUUUUUAGACCUGUCUGAGGAACAAUGAAAGUUAGAGAGACAGGAUAAGGGAUAGGAGCUAUGCCAGGCCAUCAAUCUGAGAAUGAAGAGGGAAUUGUGGUAUGGAGUUUGAAGGCCUGGGUUUGAUACAAACUUCAUCACUUAUUAGCUUUGUGACCUUGCACCAGUCAUUUAAUGUUUCUUAAGCAUGUCUACUUCUGCAUUUGUAUGGUGGAAAUUAUGCCUGCCUAAUGGUGUCUGGUGAGGGUUAUACAAGGAUAAUACAGAUAAGUUUUAUAGACUUCAAAGACCUUCUGAAUAUGCAGGUCAAUAACUCAUAAACACAAUUAUUUUAAAAUCAUACCUUGCAGCACCAAAUGUUUACCAGAUUGUUCAUGAAAUAUAAUUCAUGAAGCAUUGAUUCAACCAACAUUAGUUGAACACAUACUAUAUGUCUGUGAAUGUGCUAAGUGCUAGGGAUAUGAAGAUGAGCCAUAAGUAGCUAUGCAUAAUGAUAAAUGAAACCUUUGAGGAAUAAACAAAGUAGCAUUACGUAUGGUCAGGCCAGUUUCAGGGAGAAAACAACAUUUAAA